AAUGUACUCACUCCGUCCCAAAAUUCUUGUCUUAGAUUUGUCUAGAUACGGAUGUAUCAAGUCACAUUUUAGUAUUAGAUACAUCCAUAUCUAUACAAAUCUAAGACAAGAAAUUUGGGAUAGAGGGAGUAGUUG
rfam:Triticum aestivum genome assembly, contig: Triticum_aestivum_CS42_TGACv1_scaffold_576754_7BL